UACGUAGGGGGCAAGCGUUGUCCGGAAUUAUUGGGCGUAAAGAGCGCGUAGGCGGUCCGGUAAGUCGGUUGUGAAAGUCGGGGGCUCAACCCUCGGAUGCCGAUCGAUACUGUCGGGCUAGAGUCCGGAAGAGGCGAGUGGGAUUCCUGGUGUAGCGGUGAAAUGCGCAGAUAUCAGGAGGAACACCAAUGGCGAAGGCAGCUCGCUGGGACGGUACUGACGCUGAGGCGCGAAAGCGUGGGGAGCAAACAGG
rnacentral:rRNA from 1 species